UGGGGAAUUUUGGACAAUGGGGGCAACCCUGAUCCAGCAAUGCCGCGUGUGUGAAGAAGGCCUUCGGGUUGUAAAGCACUUUUGUCCGGAAAGAAAUCGCCCUGGCUAAUAUCCGGGGUGGAUGACGGUACUGGAAGAAUAAGCACCGGCUAACUACGUGCCAGCAGCCGCGGUAAUACGUAGGGUGCGAGCGUUAAUCGGAAUUACUGGGCGUAAAGCGUGCGCAGGCGGUUGUGCAAGACAGAUGUGAAAUCCCCCGGGCUUAACCUGGGGAAUGGCAUUUGUGACUGCACGGCUAGAGUGUGUCAGAGGGGGGUAGAAUUCCACGUGUAGCAGUGAAACGCGUAGAUAUGUGGAGGAACACCGAUGGCGAAGGCAGCCCCCUGGGAUAACACUGACGCUCAUGCACGAAAGCGUGGGGAGCAAACAGGAUUAGAUACCCUGGUAGUCCACGCCCUAAACGAUGUCAGCUAGUUGUCGGGUCUUAAUUGACUUGGUAACGCAGCUAACGCGUGAAGUUGACCGCCUGGGGGAGUACGUCGCAAGAUU
rnacentral:rRNA from 1 species